rnacentral:rRNA from 1 species
AGCGGCGGACGGGUGAGUAACACGUGGGUAACCUGCCCAAGAGACUGGGAUAACACCUGGAAACAGAUGCUAAUACCGGAUAACAACACUAGACGCAUGUCUAGAGUUUAAAAGAUGGUUCUGCUAUCACUCUUGGAUGGACCUGCGGUGCAUUAGCUAGUUGGUAAGGUAACGGCUUACCAAGGCAAUGAUGCAUAGCCGAGUUGAGAGACUGAUCGGCCACAUUGGGACUGAGACACGGCCCAAACUCCUACGGGAGGCAGCAGUAGGGAAUCUUCCACAAUGGACGCAAGUCUGAUGGAGCAACGCCGCGUGAGUGAAGAAGGGUUUCGGCUCGUAAAGCUCUGUUGUUGGAGAAGAACGUGCGUGAGAGUAACUGUUCACGCAGUGACGGUAUCCAACCAGAAAGUCACGGCUAACUACGUGCCAGCAGCCGCGGUAAUACGUAGGUGGCAAGCGUUAUCCGGAUUUAUUGGGCGUAAAGCGAGCGCAGGCGGUUGCUUAGGUCUGAUGUGAAAGCCUUCGGCUUAACCGAAGAAGUGCAUCGGAAACCGGGCGACUUGAGUGCAGAAGAGGACAGUGGAACUCCAUGUGUAGCGGUGGAAUGCGUAGAUAUAUGGAAGAACACCAGUGGCGAAGGCGGCUGUCUGGUCUGCACUGACGCUGANGCUCGAAGCAUGGGUAGCGAACAGGAUUAGAUACCCUGGUA